AUACCUUUCUCGGCCUUUUGGCUAAGAUCAAGUGUAGUAUCUGUUCUUAUCAGUUUAAUAUCUGAUAUGUGGGCUAUCGGUCCACACGAUAUUAAAUGAACUUUUUAAGGGGGAGUGACCAAAACAGUAGCUAGCUACUGGGGUGCUCGAGCGUCGCCCAGGCGUUGCACUACUGCAUGGGCCUGGCGCACCCCAC
rfam:Citrus clementina cultivar Clemenules unplaced genomic scaffold scaffold_6, whole genome shotgun sequence.